UCAAUGGUCAUACCAUGGUUGGCUGUGCAGCGUUUGGAUGCUCCAAUCGGUCCGAGAAGGGUUACCACAUGUAUGGCUUCCCCAAGGACCAAGAGCGCAGGAAGAAAUGGAUGGCAAUGGUCAGCCGUCAAAACGUACAAGUGACAGGGGUCAGCAACCGUCAAAAACUAUGUAAUGUACACUUUGAAGAUGACCAAUUCACUGCCACAAAAAGAGAAGGGAUGUUGAAGCUGAGGCCCGAUGCAGUCCCAACAGUUUUCAUUCAUCGCCCUAAGCCGAAGAGGAGGAAACCCCCUUCUGUGAGGGUGCCUCCAGAACCAAGUGCAACGGACCACACAUAUUUCACCAAAUUAAACUUCGGUAUGAUCCAUGCAGCUAACAAUAUUCCCCAUUUCAUGUAAUUCAAGGAUAGACUACACUCCUAAUGAGAUUACAUAAUUCAUAUUUGUA